CUCAGCGGCACAGCACUGCAUCAACGACAUGAAGUUGCUGGCUCUUAUAUUGUCGUCUUUCGCAGCAAUAACCUGUGCUUCAAAUUCUUCGCAGGCACACGCUGACGCAUCAAUGUGGUACACGGCUUUACAAAACGUUGCUAUCAGAUUAUGCACAAGAGCUCCUUGCGAGCCCCGAAAUACAAUUUUUGGCUUUUGCGGUAUCGGAUGCACAUGUAGGCCAUGGAAGAAGGAUUACCACUGCCUGUCCAUAUUUGACUUGGCGUAAACUAACAAGGAACGAAAUUAGCCGUUUGAUGCCGCUGCGGAAUUCACUGUGAACAUGGCUAAACCUCCAAUAAAUGAUGCUCCAUUACUGCACUUUGGCGUUCUU